ensembl:lncRNA IL21-AS1 IL21 antisense RNA 1
GGAAGUACCCACUGGACCAACUCAGGGUACCAGACCAGAAGAUCAGAUCGUAGAAGUUACUGGAGAAAAAGAUCAGCGGACAGCACUCUUGAACUACAUGCCAGGCCUCUUCUUCCUGGAACUCUAAUGGAUUUAAAUGGCUUAAGAGACGGGAUGAAUUGUUGAAAAUGGUUCUUUCAAAAGACCUCACGGAAGGCCAAAGACAAGACUCACUGAGGCCAAGCUGAUCAACAAUAUCUAUAAGUUGACGCAUUCUAAUCAUGUGGCGAUCUUGACCUUGGGAGCUUGAUUUGUGGACCAGUGUCCCCAAGAAGAUGACCAUCAGACAGAUGACAAUCCUCUCCAUGUUGCCAGGACUGGAUCUCAUAAGUACCAACAGUAGAGCUAGACCUUGGUCUCGUUUUCACUUCAGCUUGACUGAGAACAGGUAUACGUGUGCAUGUGCUAAUGUGUGGGGGCAGGGAUUGAUGGAGUCAACGAAAUGUGCCCCAUCUGCAUCUUUGACAGGAAAAAGAGAGAAUGGGUGAAUUCCAAUUUUCAGCAUGAAUCAAGAAUGUCACCGAUGAAGUUUUUGAAUGCUGUGCUCCUAAUCUCAUUUUCCUGUAAGCAUCCUCCAGAGACUUCGGUGAAGGAUGAUGCAAACUGUGUUUCUUCAGCAUGUGAGCACCAUCAGCCAUGAGUGUGGCAGCUCCAGAAUGUCUAUACCAGAGUGGCUGAGAGUCAGCAACUUGGCUGGAAGCUACACUUGAAUAGCAAACAAACCACUUUUACUUAGUUUCCAUGUCUAUUUGGUACCUUGGAGUACAGUGAUGAGUUUUACUAGAUGUGGACUUUCCAGGAAUAUAGCCAAGGUCGUCACCAUGAAAGUAUGAAACUUUAGUCAUUUACCCAAGGGGAUUCAUGGACAUAUAUUAAGAAUUUUCUUUAAUGGACUGUGUUUAUAGAACACCUGGUCAGGACGGAAAUGAGGCCAGGGAACUAAAGGGGUAGAAGUCUGAAGAGGAAUGGUUUUGCAUGGGAAAACUGUGCCAGGUCUAAAACUGGGCUGAACACUAUUUGUCCCCAACUCUCUGGCCCGGUCCUCAUAGUUCUUUCUGUGAUCCCUGCGUGGUGAAUACUCCUUUUCUGCUUUCACUGGCUUUGGCCCCUCAUGGAUAGAAUUAGAUGUUCUGCAUGGCAAACUGUGGGAAGAGAGGCCUCCAGUGUUUAGAGUGAUAUUAUCAUGUGUACCACUACUAUUAUACAUACUAAAGGUAUUCAGACAGGUGGCUUGUCUCUGGGCUUUAUAUAGAUCUCUGUCAAGCUAGAAGAAAAAUGUCACUAAAAUAAUUCAAGACAAUUUUUGUACUUUCCAACGAUGUUCAGGUAACAGCUGAAAAUAUUCUCACUUAUUUGACUUGAGGAAGAAAAUUCGAACGAGGAAAAUCAUCAAGGAUUUGCUAAAGUCCCUUCUGUAAAAUCUUCCUUAAGGAAGUUUAAACACUCCUAUUCUCUCUUCUCUCAUUCUUUUGAACUCACUGCAUGUAUUGAUAUCACUGACUUGGUUUGUUUUCUAGAAUAUAUGUAAAAGUAAGAGUGUGUAUAUAUAACCCAUUAUGUACAUAACAAGAACAGUUCCUUCC